rnacentral:rRNA from 1 species
UACGGAGGGUGCAAGCGUUGUCCGGAUUUAUUGGGUUUAAAGGGUGCGUAGGCGGUCAACUAAGUCAGAGGUGAAAGGCAGCAGCUCAACUGUUGCACUGCCAUUGAUACUGGAUGACUUGAGUACAGACGAGGUAGGCGGAAUUUAUGGUGUAGCGGUGAAAUGCAUAGAUACCAUAAAGAACACCGAUUGCGAAGGCAGCUUACUAGGCUGUAACUGACGCUGAGGCACGAAAGCGUGGGGAUCGAACAGG